rnacentral:rRNA from 1 species
GAUGAACGCUGGCGGCGUGCCUAAUACAUGCAAGUCGAGCGAACGGACGAGAAGCUUGCUUCUCUGAUGUUAGCGGCGGACGGGUGAGUAACACGUGGAUAACCUACCUAUAAGACUGGGAUAACUUCGGGAAGCCGGAGCUAAUACCGGAUAAUAUUUUGAACCGCAUGGUUCAAAAGUGAAAGACGGUCUUGCUGUCACUUAUAGAUGGAUACGCGCUGCAUUAGCUAGUUGGUAAGGUAACGGCUUACCAAGGCAACGAUGCAUAGCCGACCUGAGAGGGUGAUCGGCCACACUGGAACUGAGACACGGUCCAGACUCCUACGGGAGGCAGCAGUAGGGAAUCUUCCGCAAUGGGCGAAAGCCUGACGGAGCAACGCCGCGUGAGUGAUGAAGGUCUUCGGAUCGUAAAACUCUGUUAUUAGGGAAGAACAUAUGUGUAAGUAACUGUGCACAUCUUGACGGUACCUAAUCAGAAAGCCACGGCUAACUACGUG